rnacentral:rRNA from 1 species
AGUGAACGCUGGCGGUAGGCCUAACACAUGCAAGUCGAACGGCCGCACAGUAAGAGCUUGCUCUUACGGGUGACGAGUGGCGGACGGGUGAGGAAUACAUCGGAAUCUACUUUUUCGUGGGGGAUAACGUAGGGAAACUUACGCUAAUACCGCAUACGACCUACGGGUGAAAGCACGGGAUCUUCGGACCUUGCGCGAUCGAAUGAGCCGAUGUCGGAUUAGCUAGUUGGCGGGGUAAAGGCCCACCACGGCGACGAUCCGUAGCUGGUCUGAGAGGAUGAUCAGCCACACUGGAACUGAGACACGGUCCAGACUCCUACGGGAGGCAGCAGUGGGGAAUAUUGGACAAUGGGCGCAAGCCUGAUCCAGCCAUACCGCGUGGGUGAAGAAGGCCUUCGGGUUGUAAAGCCCUUUUGUUGGGAAAGAAAAGCAGCAGGUUAAUACCCCGCUGUUCUGACGGUACCCAAAGAAUAAGCACCGGCUAACUGCGG